GACGACCUUUGGCGGCGCGCCUAACACAUGCAAGUCGAACGAGCGAGAGAGAGCUUGCUUUCUCGAGCGAGUGGCGAACGGGUGAGUAACGCGUGAGGAACCUGCCUCAAAGAGGGGGACAACAGUUGGAAACGACUGCUAAUACCGCAUAAGCCCACGGGUCGGCAUCGACCAGAGGGAAAAGGAGCAAUCCGCUUUGAGAUGGCCUCGCGUCCGAUUAGCUGGUUGGUGAGGUAACGGCCCACCAAGGCGACGAUCGGUAGCCGGACUGAGAGGUUGAACGGCCACAUUGGGACUGAGACACGGCCCAGACUCCUACGGGAGGCAGCAGUGGGGAAUAUUGCACAAUGGGGGAAACCCUGAUGCAGCGACGCCGCGUGGAGGAAGAAGGUCUUCGGAUUGUAAACUCCUGUUGUUGGGGAAGAUAAUGACGGUACCCAACAAGGAAGUGACGGCUAACUACGUGCCAGCAGCCGCGGUAAAACGUAGGUCACAAGCGUUGUCCGGAAUUACUGGGUGUAAAGGGAGCGCAGGCGGGAAGACAAGUUGGAAGUGAAAUCUAUGGGCUCAACCCAUAAACUGCUUUCAAAACUGUUUUUCUUGAGUAGUGCAGAGGUAGGCGGAAUUCCCGGUGUAGCGGUGGAAUGCGUAGAUAUCGGGAGGAACACCAGUGGCGAAGGCGGCCUACUGGGCACCAACUGACGCUGAGGCUCGAAAGUGUGGGUAGCAAACAGGAUUAGAUACCCUGGUAGUCCACACCGUAAACG
rnacentral:rRNA from 1 species